GGUCCUGUAGUGUAGCGGUUAUCACAUGGGAUUCUGACUAAUGCUGUGCCGGGAAUUCCCAUGACCCAGGUUCGAUUCCUGGCAGGACCU